rnacentral:sRNA from 1 species
AGCAGCCGCGGUAAUUCCAGCUCCAAUAGCGUAUAUUAAAGUUGUUGCAGUUAAAAAGCUCGUAGUUGAAUUUCGAGACCGGUUUACUGGUCGUGCUUUUGUACGUACUGGUAUUAUUGGUUUCUCCUUUCUGACGAAUCAUAAUGCCAUUAAUUUGGUGUUUUGGGGAAUCAGGACUGUUACUUUGAAAAAAUUAGAGUGUUUAAAGCAGGCUCACGCUUGAAUACAUUAGCAUGGAAUAACGAAAUAGGACGUUUGAUUUUAUUUUGUUGGUUUCUAGGAUCGACGUAAUGAUUAAUAGGGAUAGUUGGGGGCAUUAGUAUUCAAUUGUCAGAGGUGAAAUUCUUGGAUUUAUUGAAGACUAACUACUGCGAAAGCAUUUGCCAAGGAUGUUUUCAUUAAUCAAGAACGAAAGUUAGGGGAUCGAAGACGAUCAGAUACCGUCGUAGUCUUAACCAUAAACUAUGCCGACUAGGGAUCGGAUGAUGUUAAUUUUUAAUGUACUCAUUCGGCGCCUUAC